CAGCUGCUGUGUUGCUGGCGGUGAGGUCAAAGUGCAGCUGGUGGUGAUUGAUGACCAGGAUGUGGACCUGACAUCAGGCCUGCACAUCUGUCUGCGUGAGAAGACCGUGUGUGUGGACCUGGCCGCGUUGCCCUCGGUGACGGCGUGUGUUUGGCAGCGUGGCAUAGCAACAAUCAGAACAACUUGCUGGCAUGAAAGCAAAGCACAGUCGGCGCUGGAUCCUCGGUUCCCGCGCACGAAAUUGCCGUUACGUGUCUAAUCGCACUCGGGGGUCAUGAGGUCUGGAAGGUAUCAGUGUUCGGAUCAGACGGAAGACGAACCGGCACCGGACAGAACUUCAUCAAAGGAAAAGUGAACCCAACCAUCUGGACCUUUAAAGUUCCGGACCAGAACCAGAAUAAACCGCACAAAUGGUUCCAUUCUCUGCAGCCGAGGAGCAGCAGCUCCUGUGUCGCCGUGGGACGCCGGUGUGGGACACUGAGAGGUUUACAAACGUCAGUUUCCUGUCGGUCAAGGAUUUGUUUGCCUGGACGUCAAAACAAAAGCUUUAAACAUGUUCUUCAGACGUCACAGAACCUAAAACUGUCCUCGUGUCCCUGCAGGCUGCCAUGUUUUCACUGAGCGUGUCCCUGUCUCAUGUGGUUCCAGCAAAGUCACCCACUCUGUGUCAGAACCUCAAACAACCACACUGUGGACGUGGUCCAUUCUCUGUCCCCAUCAUCCUUGUGUCCUCCAAUCUUGAUCCUCUCCUCGACCUGUCCUCAUCCUGCUUUCUUCCUGUCUUCUUCCUGUUUCCUCGCCUCCACAGAAACAAGGACAAUGAUGAGACUUUUUUGUCUUGUCUGUCCUGUGUGACUUCCUGUGCUUGAGCAAAGCUUUUA